rnacentral:rRNA from 1 species
UACAGGGGGUGCGAGCGUUAAUCGGAAUUACUGGGCGUAAAGCGCGCGUAGGCGGUUUUGCAAGUCGGGUGUGAAAUCCCCAGGCUUAACCUGGGAACUGCAUUCGAGACUGCAUUACUAGAGUAUGGGAGAGGGAAGUGGAAUUUCCGGUGUAGCGGUGAAAUGCGUAGAUAUCGGAAGGAACAUCAGUGGCGAAAGCGACUUCCUGGACCAAUACUGACGCUCAUGUGCGAAAGCGUGGGGAGCAAACAGG